GACGUAGGGGGCCAGCGUUGUUCGGAAUUACUGGGUGUAAAGGGUUCGUAGGCGGUGCGGCAAGUUGGGAGUGAAAUCUCUGGCUUAACCCAGAGGCUGCUUCCAAAACUGCUGUGCUUGAGUGUGGGAGAGGCGCGUGGAAUUGCAGGUGUAGCGGUGAAAUGCGUAGAUAUCUGCAGGAACACCCGUGGCGAAAGCGGCGCGCUGGACCACUACUGACGCUGAGGAACGAAAGCUAGGGGAGCAAACAGG
rnacentral:rRNA from 1 species